CUUCAGACUUGUCUCCUGAAGUCCCUGUGUGCUUGUGAACAUACAGAAACACAGAGGGAAUAAACAGCAGAAACAGUCUAAACAAGCCCAAACAGAUUGGAAACAUCAAAUCUCACAAACCUUAUGCAGCUUCACGCUUCAAAUCACCUUAAGUAUUUGCAGCACGCACCAGGAUCUCCUUUCUAUCAUAAUUAAAUACGCCUGUGAGGGGAGGAGAGCUCGGGGGAGUUGUCACCGUCCUUAAUCUCAGCUGCCAUUCCUCGGCAGCGCCCCCACGGCAGCUCCAAAAGGGGCCGGGGGUCAGAAACCCCCUCCAGGACAGGCUUGGAGGAGUGUCCCGUCUCUGCGGUCUGCCCUGAUGUUCAGCCAGGGUGGGCCCAGGUGGAAGUGGGUCCCAGGUGGGCCCAGCCUGGGGAGCGCAAGGUAGAACUGGAGCAGGACUGGAACUGGGGCGGGAGUGGAACUGGAACAGGAGGUGGAACCGGAGCUGGAGCAGGAGAUUCUGUAGCUGGGGCUCCACUGGCGGGGUUGGACUCACCUUUGGGGGCUGAGGAGGGCGGAGGUGCUGGGGAUGCUGAGCUGGGUGGGCAGGGACCCAGCCCCGCCUGGUCCAGCCGGGGGAAGCUGCAGGAGGAGCUCCCAAACCCCUCGGGCUCCAUCCCCGGCACGAUGCUCCAGCCCUGCCGCAGCUCCUCUCCCUCUCCGCGGGGCAGAAGGUCCCGCCAGGGGAAGGCGCCUCCACCCAGAAUUUUCACUGAUAAAAAUGGGGCUGGCUCUGAGCGAAAAUGCCACUGUGAUUCCUCCAAAUGGAAAAUCAAUAGGAGUCCGAAAUUAAUUAACCGUGUCUGCAGUUGGGGCAAGCAGUUAAACAAAGCUGAAUGAAGCUUUUCAGCCCGCAGCUGGGGCAGGAUCCGCCCGGCGGGUGCCUUUGAGCAUCCAUCCAUCCAUCCAUCCCUCCAUCCAUCCAUCCAUCCAUCCAUCCAUCCAUCCAUCCAUCCAUCCAUCCAUCCAUCCAUCCAUCCAUCCCUCUCCAUCUCCCGCUCCAUCCCGCGGGUUUUUCGGGGGAGAUCGGGCCAGAGGGGCCCCCCAGGAGCGGCUCAAGGUCAGCCCGACCGUUGCUUCCCGAUGGGGCGGGCUCCAGAGAGUAAACAAUAAUUAACCUUAAAUUAAAACUGCUUGUAAUCUUUGAUUACCCGCCUGGUUCUGCGAUGUGCCAAAGCCCAUUUUGUUUCUGGUUUCCUUGGAGAUACCUCCCGGUCUCCCCACCCCCUUCCAGCUCUGCUCCAGCUUUUUUCCCUUUUUUUUUUUUUUCCCCCCCCCCCCCCCCCCCCCCCCCCCCCCCCCCUUUUUUUUUUUUUUUUUUUUUUUAAUUCUUUUUAUUAUUAUUAUUUUUU
rnacentral:lncRNA from 12 species